GGGGGGGGGGGGGGGGGGGGGGUGGGGGGGGGGGGGGGGCGGGAGCGGGGGUGCGGGGGCCGGCGGGUGGGGGAGGGGGGGGUAAUACGGCGGAAGGUGCCCGAGCGGGGGGGGUAACGAGGCGGAAGCUGUGCUAAUACCGCAUACGAGCUACGGAGGAAAGCGGGGGACCGCAGGGCCUUGCGCGGACGGCGCGGCCGAUGGCAGAUUAGGUAGUUGGUGGGAUAAAAGCUUACCAAGCCGACGAUCUGUAGCUGGUCUGAGAGGAUGAUCAGCCACACUGGGACUGAGACACGGCCCAGACUCCUACGGGAGGCAGCAGUGGGGAAUUUUGGACAAUGGGCGCAAGCCUGAUCCAGCCAUGCCGCGUGCAGGAUGAAGGCCUUCGGGUUGUAAACUGCUUUUGUACGGAACGAAAAGCCUUCUUUUAAUACAGGAGGGUCAUGACGGUACCGUAAGAAUAAGCACCGGCUAACUACGUG
rnacentral:rRNA from 1 species